ensembl:misc_RNA Metazoa_SRP Metazoan signal recognition particle RNA
UGUCAACCGGGUGUCCACACUAAGUUUGGCAUCAUUAUGGUGACUUCCUGGGAGCAGGGGACUACCAGGUUGCCUAAGGAUGGGUGAACUGGCCCAGGUCAGAAAUGAAGCAGGUCAGAACUCCCAUGCUGAUCGGUAGUGGGACUGCACCUGGGCA